GAUGAACGCUGGCGGCGUGCCUAAUACAUGCAAGUCGAGCGAACAGACGAGGAGCUUGCUCCUCUGACGUUAGCGGCGGACGGGUGAGUAACACGUGGAUAACCUACCUAUAAGACUGGGAUAACUUCGGGAAACCGGAGCUAAUACCGGAUAAUAUAUUGAACCGCAUGGUUCAAUAGUGAAAGACGGUUUUGCUGUCACUUAUAGAUGGAUCCGCGCCGCAUUAGCUAGUUGGUAAGGUAACGGCUUACCAAGGCAACGAUGCGUAGCCGACCUGAGAGGGUGAUCGGCCACACUGGAACUGAGACACGGUCCAGACUCCUACGGGAGGCAGCAGUAGGGAACCUUCCGCAAUGGGCGAAAGCCUGACGGAGCAACGCCGCGUGAGUGAUGAAGGUCUUCGGAUCGUAAAACUCUGUUAUUAGGGAAGAACAAAUGUGUAAGUAACUAUGCACGUCUUGACGGUACCUAAUCAGAAAGCCACGGCUAACUACGU
rnacentral:rRNA from 1 species